ensembl:lncRNA
AUUUAUUUUCCAGUUGCUUUUUAUGUUAUACUGGCACCCAAACCGUGUCUCUACAGAGGGACGAGCAUCGUUGAAAAUACUCCUGAUAGGGAUGCACUGGCAGCAAACUUAACUCAUCAAGCGGCAUCUUUGUACCGGCCUCGCGACGUUCUGCUGCCGAAGCGGAGCUUUGUGUGUGAAAGUGCUUUUGAAGGAAGUGGUUUGAGGGAAGUGCUCGGGAAACCGGCCCUCACGGGGCGCCCGGCGCCGGCCGGCCCGCGGCGGAGGCGAGGCGAGGCGGGCCGGGCUGAGGCGGCCCGCCCCGGGGAGCUCCCUCCCCCGGCCGCGCGGAGCCAUGUGACAACGCGACGGCUGUCCCGAAGCCUCCGAAGGGAAGCGGCCAGCCGCGACGCGGGACAGCGGCUCCCUCUGAGGCGGCGGCCCGGGGCAGGCCCCACCCUGGCCCCUCCCGUGACCGCAGGUGCAGUCCGAAGCCGCGGCCGCCUUCCCGCCUGGCGAGCGGCUCCUCACAGAGGUGCUGAACCCAACAGCAACUCAAGGUGCCGAUGGAGACUGAGGAAAGGAGAGUGGUUGCUGGAUGGUGGUUGCAUCCCCAUCGCAUCGCAUCCCACCCCAUCAGGAUGCUGAUCUGUUGCUCUCCAAGUCACUCACCUUGGGUAAAGGACAGCAAGCACUUCUAUAGAAGGAUACGGGAUAUGAGAUCCUCAUUCCUGUUCCAGUUUGGGAUGGCACAGUUCACAUGAGGUGUCUCACGACUAUUUUAGGUUUAUUAAACUCCUUUCAGUGACAUAAACUAGCAGUGAUGUGGGCAAGCCUUUCGUUUGCUUGAGCAAAGAACAUGAGAUCAGGUUUUAUAAGAAAGAAAGGAAAAAAACCAAAAACAACAAACAAAAAAAUGCUGCUCUCUACAGAGGAUUGAUUGUACUUGUAGCUAUGCUUUCAGACUCGAACCUAUGUUACUCUAAUAACUUAAAUUAUGAUUUCUCAUGUAAUUUAUUUCCUACUGCAUUUUUGUUUCUGAUCACAAUUUUUAAAGAAAAUGUUCAUUUAUACUCGGAAAGUACUCAGCCAAUGAUAACCACUCAAGCAUGCAAUUUUUCCUGUUCUAGUCAGCCAGUACUGAAGAUAUCUUAUUUGCUGAUUCUGCAGCAGAAGAAAUAUUCCACACUUGACUCAGAUCUCUAACACUCUUACUGUAGUUGAAUUACUAACUAGAAACGGUGUUUUUACCAUGGCUGUAGUGGCCCAAAAGGUCCUUGUUGCUGGCAGCUGUGUGUCAGUUACUGUUGUGGACAACUGUGCUUGUUGAGGUCAACGGAAAGACUCCCAUGACUUCAUUGAGGUUUGAAAUUGAGAAACUGAAUCUAAGUUUGGAUGCUUCUAAGGCAUCCUAGUGCAUUGUCACUGAAUCAUUCAGCUAAGCAUGUAUGUAUUUUUGUUUCUUAUGUAGUUAUAUUUUUUUUUUUAUGAAGACUAAGUACUAAUUGCAAAACAAAUACUCUGCAAGAGGAAAGACUACAUUGGGUCAGAUCAAAAGUUCUUUAAAAUCAGUAAAGUUUCUCCACUGUCCUCUGAAUUCAUUACAAAAAUAAGAACACAACAAAAUGUAGGUGAUCACUAAAUUGCCAUGCUAUAGUCCAGCGUUUCUCUUGUCACCUUUUAAUACUCUAUUUGCUUUUAGAAUAAAAUGAAAAGUGUUCUCA